UACGUAGGGGGCAAGCGUUGUCCGGAUUUAUUGGGUUUAAAGGGUGCGUAGGCGGCUUUGUAAGUCAGUGGUGAAAUAUGGCAGCUCAACUGUCAGGGUGCCAUUGAUACUGCGGAGCUUGAGUACAGAUGAUGUAGGCGGAAUUGACGGUGUAGCGGUGAAAUGCUUAGAUAUCGUCAAGAACACCGAUAGCGAAGGCAGCUUACUAGGCUGUAACUGACGCUGAGGCACGAAAGUGUGGGGAUCAAACAGG
rnacentral:rRNA from 1 species